GAUGCUGUAAACCAGAGGUUGCUCAGCCUCUCUCCCCAGUCCGUAGUGAGAAGCUAAGGUCAGAAGCUCCUGGUCCGUAGUGCCUAGUGCCCACAGGAGUAGGCUCGGGCGAUCUCUCCUCCUAGUCACCUGGAGUAUCAAUAAAGUGUGUUUAGCUUGACCUUCCAGCAACCUGGCCAGUUCCCAGAGGGGGAGAUCCUGACCAUGAUGAUUAUAAAUAAGGAAAAUAAAGAACAAUUACAAGCAUCAAUGUUAAACACUCCUACUGGCUUAGAGAAGAUAUUGAGAUUCACACAUUAGCAUACUGGCUCAAGGGCAAAGGUGGUGACACUGCUGACAAGAUGUCAAUGGCUAGAAUAAGAAAAGCCCGGUGACCAGCACAGGGUGGUGCCUGACAGCAAAUCCAUGUAACACAAAGGAGUCAGUAUGAUCAAGGGCCUCCCCUAGCCCAGACUAUGCCUUUUGAUGAAAUAAACUGAAACUCUGCCCAAGUGCAAGGCUUAUGGAACAAGCAUAGAGCACCUCUGUGAAAAUUCAAGGAAUGCUACUCAUUCCUCUGAGUAGAAGCAGUCCAACAAAAGCUUCCAUUAUUGGGUGGCUUACAUUCCUUUUUAGAGUCCUCCAUUUCUGUGACACAACAUCCUGGCCCAAAUCCAACAGCUCAAAUCUCACUACUCAGAGUUCCAGGGAUGAGAUGGAAAUAGGUAGGAGAACAGGAAUGUGCCCAUGCUGUUUACUUCUGUACAACAGAGCCCAGCAGGGUUCUUGGAGCAACAGAGAUACUCAAUUGCAUCAAUGGAUGCAUGAAUGAGUGAAUGGUCACAUGAACAGAACCUUCAUCAUCAUUGCCAGUUGCAUAACAGAUCAUCACUACCAUCUGUUGACAGUUGCUUGAGUUGCAAGGAAGUCAGCAAUGACUAUGGCUGAUCAAUUCAACCUGCCUGGAUGAUGACCACUGAAACCUAUCAUCAUUAAAUGCUGCAUGUCAGGAUCGUGCCGAGUGAUUGGCUGGUUUCCCUAAGGACCCAUGGCGGAGAAGCACUAGUUUGUCAGCAGCAUCCUAUUUAGCAUGUGUGUGAGGCCACAAGGGAGCCCGAAAGACAUCUGAAAUCUGAACUACAUCAAUAUGCUGAUGAUGCCUUCAUCUCAUCAAACCUAUAUCCUUUAGCAUUAAUGCUUUCUUAACUAAGAUGGAAAUGCUUCCAAACAGCACACUGCUUAUAGCUCUAAUUAGGCAGCUGGAAUCUACGUU